UAGCCUUAACAUAUAGCUAUUUGGGACGAACACCCUCACCUCUCCAUUGACUACUUUUAUUAAUGAAGACUCAUAUUACUAUCUUAUUUUUAUUUACACCAAAAAUAUUAAAAAAAUUAUUACAAAUUGAAAAUUCGAAGCAAAAGGACAGAACCUUCUCUUGUAGAUUUUGCUGCUGCUGCUUAAUCAAAGCUCUGGAACUGCACUUUCUCUCUCCUAUUUCUUUCCUUCUCUCACUAUUGAGUUGGUCAGUUUGGCAGCCAGCUAACUCUUCUUGCUUUACACGGCUUUUGGGAUUACCUAUCAAAUCAAAUCCUCUAAAAAGUUUCUCCACCUUUGAUUUUCUUUUUCUUUUUUCCCCUUUUUACCGUUUUCCCAAAUCUGGUUCUUCAUUUUCACAUCACCAAGGAUCAUCAAUGUAGGCCAACAACUUUAAGAGAAAGUCGAUCGAAGUCUGAAGAUUACUGCAUAAGUUCACUUAAGAAUCAUUUUGAUGGAGCGAGAUGAUGCAACAAUUGAACAAAAGAAAGCAUUACAAAGAAAACGACGGAGAGAAUUAUAUGCACAAACUAAAGAAUCACGAAAUAAGCAUCGGAGAUAGGUGGCUGCAAAGAAAAGAAUGGCUGAAAGUAACAAAAGUAUUCGCAAUAAUUCUAGAAAGAUUCGUACAGAAAAUAUGGUGAUGAGUGAAUCCUUUCAAAGUGAAAUAGGGAGCGACCAUAUGUUUCAUGAUAAAAUCGGCCACCAGAGAAAUAUUAUGAGUGAAAUCGGAAGUACAUCAAACACGUGUGUAUGCAGACAUGAUACUUUUGUUGAAAGAGGUCAUAUGAUAAUUUGGACUUUAUAGGAAUUCCUUGCACACUUAUUGUGAGUAUCUUUAAUUUUGUACCAAUUACACAUUGAUUAUACUUAUUUAUUGUAUAUUGCUCAUGAUAUACUAUAAAUUGGCUAAGGAGACUUUAUAAAAGAUUUCUAACUAAUUACUAAUCAUUGUUAUCAGCUGGUUUAAAUUUAAAAAUAUUUGGGUAACAAGUCAAGUUUUCUGAAUUGGUGGAGAUUUGAAAAUAUAUUGUGAGUAGCAUAUAAAGACGAGGAAAUCAACCCUAAAUAGUCAUGUUGAACUCUACACCCUUUUAGAUUUUUCCCCAAAAAAAACGUGAACUCUCCUAUACUUGUGAUUGUCCAGACAAAACUUGUCUUCAAAACAGAAGGAAAAGAAUUGCAAUGGCAGAACUUUAUAAACUUAUACCAGAGAUUUCUCUUGGAGAAAUGAAUUGGACUGCCAAAGUUAUUGUUGCUGAAAAAUCAAACACAAAAACAGCAAUACAUAGUCCAACCAAAUACAUGAAUAUGACACUUAUUCAUCCACAAGAGAACCAAGUGCAAGCAACGAUCUAUGAAGCAAAUAUUCUACCUUUUCAAGACACCCUGGAAGUAUCAAAAACAUACUUAAUCUCGAAUGCAACUGUGAAGCAUACUAAACCUCAGUAUAGAAAAGUUGCUGGAGAUGUCCAAUGGACUAUAAAUGGGAAAACAAAAGUAGAAGAGCUCAAAGAAAAUCACAAUGCUCUUUUAUUUUCAAUGAAAUUCCGUAUUUUAAUAUUCCCAGUUUGAUUAUUUAAUUAAAUGAUUAAUUAAAUGCGGAAUAAUAAAACUGGUACUGAAAACAGUUUUCUGUAGUUACAGAAUGCAACUCUGUAACUCCAGAGAAACCCAGAAAAACAAACAGUGCAUAAAAGUAAAAACACACAAGAUUUUUGUACGUGGUUUCAACAAUCCUUUCAGAUUGUUACUAGUCCACGGGGCCACGCCCAGAGAUAAGAUUCAUUAGAUCGGUAUCAAAAAUACAAAGUAAUU